rnacentral:rRNA from 1 species
UACGAAGGGAGCUAGCGUUGUUCGGAAUCACUGGGCGUAAAGCGCACGUAGGCGGAUGUGUCAGUCAGGGGUGAAAUCCCGGAGCUCAACUUCGGAACUGCCUUUGAUACAGCACAUCUGGAGUCCGGAAGAGGUGGGUGGAAUUCCUAGUGUAGAGGUGAAAUUCGUAGAUAUUAGGAAGAACACUGGUGGCGAAGGCGGCCCACUGGUCCGGUACUGACGCUGAGGUGCGAAAGCGUGGGGAGCAAACAGG